GUCACAAAACAUUCUUUGGAGUAUCUUCAGUGGUGGCAAGCCUUCAUUCUUAUCAGAUAGAUCUGGUUUGGGGUAAACACCUAAAGUAAUCUGGAGUCAAAUCAGGCAGUUAAGAGUAAUGACAUUCAGUAAAGUGUGAAAUGGAAAAUGUAAUCUUGGCAACAAAAUAAUGAGAUUCUAGUUCACCAGAAAUAUGUUCUGAAACCAAUUUUCCUGAAGUAAGGCGAGUCAGAUGACAUGGACUUGAUGAGGGCUGGUCCCAGAAAUAAAGAAGGGCCAUCCUGAGGUGAAGACACCCUGAAGAUGAAAGAACACUGUCCAGGGUGGAAUAAAGUACACUGGGAACCAUAA